UUUAUCGGAGAGUUUGAUCCUGGCUCAGGACGAACGCUGGCGGCGUGCCUAAUACAUGCAAGUCGAGCGGAUUGAUGGGAGCUUGCUCCCUGAUAUCAGCGGCGGACGGGUGAGUAACACGUGGGUAACCUGCCUGUAAGACUGGGAUAACUCCGGGAAACCGGGGCUAAUACCGGAUAACUCAUUUCCUCGCAUGAGGAAAUGUUGAAAGGUGGCUUCGGCUACCACUUACAGAUGGACCCGCGGCGCAUUAGCUAGUUGGUGAGGUAAUGGCUCACCAAGGCAACGAUGCGUAGCCGACCUGAGAGGGUGAUCGGCCACACUGGGACUGAGACACGGCCCAGACUCCUACGGGAGGCAGCAGUAGGGAAUCUUCCGCAAUGGACGAAAGUCUGACGGAGCAACGCCGCGUGAGUGAUGAAGGUUUUCGGAUCGUAAAGCUCUGUUGUUAGGGAAGAACAAGUGCCGUUCGAAUAGGGCGGCACCUUGACGGUACCUAACCAGAAAGCCACGGCUAAC
rnacentral:rRNA from 2 species